CCUACGGGUGGCCGCAGUGAGGAAUACUGGUCAAUGGACGCAAGUCUGAACCAGCCAAGUAGCGUGCAUGAUGACGGCCCUCCGGGUUGUAAACUGCUUUUAGUUGGGAGUAAAAGGGGGCUCGUGAGCCCCGUAUUGUUUGUACCAUCAGAAAAAGGACCGGCUAAUUCCGUGCCAGCAGCCGCGGUAAUACGGCAGGUCCGGGGGUUAUCCGGCUUUACUGGGUGUAAAGGGGGCGCAGGCGGCAGCGCAAGCGAGGAGUGAAAGCCCGGGGCUGAACCCCGGGACUGUUCUUGGAACUGGGCGGCUGGAGUGCAGGAGGGGCAGGCGGAAUGCCUGGUGUAGCGGUGAAAUGCGUAGAUAUCAGGAGGAACACCGGUGGCGAAGGCAGCCUGCUGGACUUCUACUGACGUUGAGGCCCGAAAGCGUGGGGAGCAAACAGGAUUAGAUACCCUGGUAGUC
rnacentral:rRNA from 1 species